CAAAAAAAAUAAAAUGAAGGGGGCGUGAGUUGGCCCAUUGUGCAAAAUGGGGGACUUAAGUUAGCCCAUUGUACAGAAGGUGCGUGCAAGGCCGAGUUUAUGCAUGCAUAGGAGGAAAAUUGAUUGUUCGUUGGAGGAGGAUUAAAGGCUUGAAGUUUGAUAGUGGAGUCUUCUACCAUCGAUUCAUGUGUAUUAACGUAAGCUCCGUGACUUGUAUAAAAAAUUUCGGCCGUUGAAAUGCUCUUUAAUUUCAAAUUUCGCUCCAGAAUCAGAGAAACCCUUGCUAACCCUCAUAAAUUUAGGGAUUUAUUUGAAUUUCGUGCAUGUGUAAUUGGCGUUGAGGUUGGACCUGCUUGUAAACCCAGAAGUUCUUUCCAAUUUCCCAGUUAUGUACUUAAAACAUUUUUCUCGUCAUUAUCAUCCAGAAACCCUAAUCCUAGUUCUCAUUCAAACCCUAGUUUAUAUGGCGAGAGAGACGAUUUUGAUGCCAUCGGAGAAGGGAGUGACAGAUUUAAGCAAAUGGGUUUUGGGGAAUCUAGGGAUUUAGGCCACUUUGGAAGCGGGCUUGAUGAUUUGGAUGAUAAUGAAGAAUCGAGUGAUAUAGAAGAAGGAGGUAAUGACCAUAAUGAUGACGAUUUAAUGGUUUUGAAUUCAUUUACUGGAGGUUACAGACAAACAGAAGGUAUUAGAAGAUUCGAGGGAGGUGAAGAUGAAUCUAGACAUCCUUUGGUAAGAGAAAUAUGUAGGUUAAUUGAACUUCGAUCAGCCUGGAAUCCAAAGCUUGAGGGGGAAUUGAGGCAUUUGCUAAGGAGCCUGAAGCCCAGGCAAGUUUGUGCAGUUUUGCAAUUGCAGACUGAUGAGCGGGUUGCUUUGAGAUUCUUCUACUGGGCUGACCGGCAAUGGCGGUACCGGCAUGAUCCCAUUGUGUACUAUGCAAUGCUUGAGAUUCUAAGCAAGACAAAAUUGUGUCAGGGGGCAAAGCGGGUUCUUCGACUUAUGGCUAAGAGGAGAAUUGAGCGUCGGCCUGAAGCAUUUGGUUAUGUGAUGGUGUCAUAUAGUCGGGCAGGCAAGUUGAGGAAUGCAAUGCGGGUUUUAACUAUGAUGCAGAAAGCAGGAAUUGAACCUGAUUUGUCAAUAUGUAAUACUGCAAUUCAUGUUUUGGUAAUGGGAAAUAGGCUGGACAAGGCAGUGAGGUUCCUGGAACGAAUGCAAAUUGUUGAGAUUGAACCUAAUGUUAUCACCUAUAACUGCUUGAUUAAGGGGUAUUGUGAUUUGCAUCGACUUGAGGAUGCAAUGGAACUGAUUGCUGAAAUGCCUUUUAAAGGUUGCUCUCCUGACAAAAUUAGUUACUAUACUGUGAUGGGUUUUCUUUGUAAGGAAAAAAGGAUUAAAGAAGUGAGACUGUUGAUGGAGAAGAUGUUGAAGGAUAGUAAUUUGUUACCGGACCAGGUUACAUAUAACACUUUUGUCCAUAUGCUCUCCAAGCAUGGCCAUGGGGAUGAGGCUCUUGAAUUUUUAAGGGAAGCAGAAGAGAGGAGAUUUCGGGUUGAUAAGGUUGGGUAUAGUGCUAUAGUUCACUCGUUCUGUCGGGAAGGAAGAAUGGACAAGGCUAAAGAAAUAGUGAAUGAAAUGUUUUCUAAGGGUUGCAUUCCUGAUGUAGUCACCUACACUUCUGUUAUCAAUGGGUUGUGUCAGGAAAGGAAGGUGGAUCAAGCUAAAAAGAUGCUUCGGCAAAUGUACAAGCAUGGUUGCAAGCCAAAUACUGUAUCAUACACAGCUUUGUUAAAUGGGCUUUGUAAGAAUGGGAACUCAUUGGAGGCAAGAGAGAUGAUGAACAUGAGUGAGGAGGACUGGUGGAUUCCAAAUGCUAUCACAUACAGCGUUUUGAUGCAUGGGUUUCGCAGGGAAGGGAAAUCGUCUGAGGCCUGUGAUUUGGUCAGGGAGAUGAUUAAAAAGGGUUUCUUUCCAACACCAGUUGAAAUUAAUUUACUGAUUCAGUCUCUCUGCCAAGAGGAAAAGGUGGAUGAGGCAAAAAGGUUCAUGGAGCAGUGUCUGAACAAUGGAUGUGCUGUCAAUGUGGUAAACUUUACUACUGUAAUUCAUGGGUUUUGUCAAAAGGAUGACUUGGAAGCUGCUCUCUCAUUGCUUGAUGAUAUGUAUCUAAGUAACAAACACCCAGAUGUAGUUACAUAUACAACCAUAAUUGAUGCACUGGGAAAGAAAGGUAGAAUAGAAGAAGCAACUAAACUUGCAAUGAAGAUGCUUCGGGUGGGUUUGAUUCCUACUCCUGUCACAUAUCGGACAGUUAUCCACCAGUAUUGUCGGAUGGGUAGGGUGGAAGAUUUGUUGAAGUUAUUAGAGAAGAUGCUUUCAAGGCAAGAAUGCAGGACAGCAUAUAAUCAAGUUAUUGAAAAGCUUUGUAGUUUUGGAAACCUCGAGCAGGCCUAUAAACUCUUGGGCAAGGUUCUCAGGACAGCUUCAAAAAUCGAUGCCAAUACUUGCCACAUGCUUAUUGAAAGUUAUUUGAGCAAAGGGAUUCCUUUGAUGUCAUAUAAUGUGGCUUGUCGAAUGUUCAAUCGGAAUCUGAUUCCUGAUCUGAAGCUGUGUGAGAAGGUGAGCAAGAAACUAAUGUUAGAGGGAAAAUCAGAGGAGGCAGAUAAGCUUAUUUUGCGGUUUGUUGAACGUGGUCGCAUUUCACCUCAGUGUCAGCUGGAUUUAUAGAGCUAGGACAACAUGUCAAUUUUCUUGAGAUGCUGAUGGAUGUGAUCUGGGAAUGCUGAGCUGUAGUCUUGUUUGCUGUAAUAUGUUUUUGGAGUAUUUUUGGGUGGUGCUUCAGAUAUGGGCAACUCUGUUUAACUUAUUUGCAAUGCUGGGUGCUUUCUCGUGAGAUAUGGGCAAUGCUAUGUAGCUUUUGUGCACUGCAGAUAUGAUUGAAUUGAAUGAGAGAGGAUUUGGAGAAUUUUGUGGUAUGCAUGCUCCAAGGAUUGAGAACAUUUACCCUCUUAUUAGCACGAUGCUUCAAAACUUUCAUUUUACUGAUAUGAUUGUUGGUAAUCUCUGUAAUUUGGUGAACACAAGGAACGGAUGCUCUGUAAUUGAGUUGACUACCACAUAAGAGAGUGGUACAAUUUUUAUACUCAAUCACGUCUCAAAUGCAGUGUACAGAAAAUUUAAACACCAUUUUCAUGCUUUACACCUGGAAAGUCUCAGACAUGAUGCAGGCAUAAAAUUUAGAUACCAUCCCUAUCUUUACAACUUGGAUAUACCUUGAGCACCCUCUUGGCUUUUGCUAUGCCAAGCAUCAAGUGAUGCAAAUUGAACUGGGUUUGCUGUUGGAGAGAAUUCAAGGCUUCCACAGUAGGAUAGUAGGUUUUAAACCUUACAUUUUCAAGGUUUGACUAGCAAACAAGUGUGGGAGCAUGGAGGUUGGGGAUUGCUUUGGAGGAAAAGAGUUCUGCUAGAUUGGUGCAGGGGCUUGAGAAUCUUGUGGUAGAAGUUGAUGUUGAUAUUUUUGACAUUAUUUGAGGCCAUAAUUGGAAAUGGGACCGGAACUCUUGAUCGUUAAAAGUCAUUAGCAAGCUUCUUGACAGAGAGUCAGCAGUGCUACUGGCAGACAAAGCUUUGCCGAGAUGGAGAUGGAUUUGAUCUUGAGGUUCAGGACACAUUUCUCUCUCUCUCUCUCUCUCUCUCUCUCUCUCUCUCUCAGAGUCUAGCUGGGCAUGCAUUAUAGUUGAAGCAAGUGAAAUUGUGAAAACAAAGGAUGCUUUGUUGUUAACUACUCAUGAAGGGCAACAACAAAAUCUUGUAAAAAAAGAAAAGAGAAAAAGGAAAAGAAGGAGAGCAAAGCAAUGGUGGGGUUAUGACUAUGCUUUUGCUUUUGCAUUGAGGAGAUAAAAAAAAAAGGGUCUUAUGUUGAAAGACACCAUAUGGAACCUUCUAACAUGUCUGCUUCAUGGCCGACCCAUCCUCUGCUAAAGAUGCCACUGUUUCUUCUUCAGUAUCCAUCAUGCUUGCCUGUACUAAAUAUACCCCUAUUUUUUUAUUCAUAUUCUAUGGAUUUUUUUCAUGCUUC